AACUCGGUGGUGAAGGUAUCACAUCCGCCGCAACUGCGACGUUGAAAAGGAAUAUUCUGCGGAAGUCGCCCGUUCGACCCGGGCCCGAGUUA